UUUGAAGAUAAAACGUACAGGUUCGUAGUGACUGCGGAAGAUCAUUAAGAGUAGGUGCUCAGCGCCGACUCCACCCUUGUGUUAAACUACCUGUUGCUUGCGGACCGCUCGGUUCCGAGCCGCUGGGGAUCGUCCCAGGCGAGUGCCCGCCAGAGUUAAACCAAACUCUUGUUAUUAAACCGGUCGUCUGAGUUAAAAUUUUGAAUAAAUCAAAACUUUCAACAACGGAUCUCUUGGUUCUCGCAUCGAUGAAGAACGCAGCGAAAUGCGAUAAGUAAUGUGAAUUGCAGAAUUCAGUGAAUCAUCGAAUCUUUGAACGCACAUUGCGCCCCUUGGUAUUCCGAGGGGCAUGCCUGUUCGAGCGUCAUUACACCACUCAAGCUAUGCUUGGUAUUGGGUGUCGUCCUUAGUUGGGCGCGCCUUAAAGACCUCGGCGAGGCCUCCCCGGCUUUAGGCGUAGUAGAAUUUAUUCGAACGUCUGUCAAAGGAGAGGAACUCUGCCGACUGAAACGGAAAUAAAACAGGUUGAAAUCUGGUACUCUAUGUGCUUGGGAUG
rnacentral:rRNA from 1 species